GAAUUUCUCCACAACUGAAGACACAACAACAGUCUCCUGGAAUUCCGAUUCAAAAUGAAGCAGAAGCGUCGGCAGUAAUGAAAGCAAUGAGAUCAUUUCAGUUUCAUAAUUGGCCGCAGAUGUCACAUGGAUCCUAUUGUGAAUACUUUAAUCAAUAUCUAGUUCGUUAAUAACAUUUCUGUUGCAGAUCCAAUGCCAUAUCAUCUGGAAAAUCAAAUGAGACCUAUGAAAAGUGGAGAUCAGCUUCCGUUAAAUCAGCAAAACCACAAUUUGUCAGGGUUUCCAGCGUUCGUCGGAAAGGUUCAUCAUUCAGAACAGGAGUGCGCGGCAAUCUGAAGUUUCCGGAAAUCGGCAACAUCGACAAUUGCCGGUUUUGGAAAUUUUCGGCAAUAUCGAAAAUUGCCGGUUUCGGAAAUUUUCGGCAAUAUCGAAAAUUGCCGGUUUUGGAAAUUUUCGGUGAUCGGCAAUAUCGACAAUUGCCGGUUUUGGAAAUUUUCGGCAAUUUCGGCAGUUGGCGGCUUUGAAAAUUUUCGGCAAUCGGCAAUAUCGACAAUUGCCGGUUUUGGAAAUUUUCGGCAAUAUCGAAAAUUGCCGGUUUUGGAAAUUUUCGGUAAUCGGCAAUUUCGGCAGUUGCCGGUUUUCGAAAUUUUCGGUAAUCGGCAAUAUCGACAAUUGCCGGUUUUGGAAAUUUUCGGCAAUUUCGGCAGUUGCCGGGUCUGGAAAUUUUCGACAAUCGGCUAUUUCGGCAGUUGCCGGUUUCGGAAAUUUUCGGUAAUCGGCAAUAUCGACAAUUGCCGGUUUUGGAAAUUUUCGGCAAUUUCGGCAGCUGCCGGUUUUGGAAAUUUUCGGCAAUCAGCUAUUUCGGCAUUUGCCGAAAAUUCAAUUGCCACGCACCUCUGAUUCAGAACUAUACUUUUUCAUUAAUUUAUAUUGGUUUGCCGAUUGCGGAAUUUAAGUAUUGAAUUUUCAGAGUUCUCUUGUUGGAUCAUCCUUGAAUACCCGCAACAGCAGCGAAGCUGAUCCGGAGGAGAUGCCGAGGAUUAUGGAAAAAUUGGACGAUGAGGUGACUGGAGCUGAUCAUGACAAGACGAUCGAUGAAAACAGAAGACGGAUUCACAAGUCACAGGAACCACGAAUCGGGACGGAGGAGAAGGCUUUGAACG
rnacentral:sRNA from 1 species